GAAAGAUGAAAAGAACUUUGAAAAGAGAGUUAAAUAGUACGUGAAAUUGUUGAAAGGGAAACGAUUGAAGCCAGUCGUACCUGCGGGUAAUCAGCCUUUUGGGCAUGAUUCUGUGGAGCGUGAGGAGUUAAACGCCUUCAUGCCUGCAUAUUCGUGUACUUUGGGUGUACUUGCCUGUGUGGUUAGUUAACAUCAAUUUUGGUUAUCAUAAAAUGGCUGGAGGAAUGUAGCUUCGAUUUCGAUUGAAGUGUUAUA
rnacentral:rRNA from 1 species